UACGAAGGGUGCAAGCGUUAAUCGGAAUUACUGGGCGUAAAGCGUGCGUAGGCGGUGACUUAAGUCUGUUGUGAAAUCCCCGGGCUCAACCUGGGAAUGGCAAUGGAUACUGGGUCGCUAGAGUGUGAUAGAGGAUGGUGGAAUUCCCGGUGUAGCGGUGAAAUGCGUAGAGAUCGGGAGGAACAUCAGUGGCGAAGGCGGCCAUCUGGAUCAACACUGACGCUGAGGCACGAAAGCGUGGGGAGCAAACAGGG
rnacentral:rRNA from 1 species